UGGGGAAUAUUGCGCAAUGGGGGGAACCCUGACGCAGCCAUGNCGCGUGAAUGAAGAAGGCCUUAGGGUUGUAAAGUUCUUUCGGUAUUGAGGAAGGUUGAUGUGUUAAUAGCACAUCAAAUUGACGUUAAAUACAGAAGAAGCACCGGCUAACUCCGUGCCAGCAGCCGCGGUAAUACGGAGGGUGCGAGCGUUAAUCGGAAUAACUGGGCGUAAAGGGCACGCAGGCGGUUAUUUAAGUGAGGUGUGAAAGCCCCGGGCUUAACCUGGGAAUUGCAUUUCAGACUGGGUAACUAGAGUACUUUAGGGAGGGGUAGAAUUCCACGUGUAGCGGUGAAAUGCGUAGAGAUGUGGAGGAAUACCGAAGGCGAAGCNAGCCCCUUGGGAAUGUACUGACGCUCAUGUGCGAAAGCGUGGGGAGCAAACAGGAUUAGAUACCCUGGUAGUCCACGCUGUAAACGCUGUCGAUUUGGGGGUUGGGGUUUAACUCUGGCGCCCGUAGCUAACGUGAUAAAUCGACCGCCUGGGGAGUACGGCCGCAAGNUUA
rnacentral:rRNA from 1 species